GCACUGCUGAGGAAUCCCACAAUAAGACGAAACGGUUGUCCAGUGC
rnacentral:hammerhead_ribozyme from 1 species